rnacentral:rRNA from 1 species
UACGUAGGGUGCAAGCGUUGUCCGGAAUUAUUGGGCGUAAAGAGCUCGUAGGCGGUUCGUCGCGUCGGCUGUGAAAAACCCGGAGCUCCAACGUCCGGGCCUGCAGUCGAUACGGGCGGACUAGAGUUCGGCAGGGGAGACUGGAAUUCCUGGUGUAGCGGUGAAAUGCGCAGAUAUCAGGAGGAACACCGGUGGCGAAGGCGGGCUCUGGGCCGAUACUGACGCUGAGGAGCGAAAGCGUGGGGAGCGAACAGG